rnacentral:rRNA from 1 species
UCGCGGUAUGGGAUGGGGUCGCGUCCUAUCAGCUUGGCGGCGGGGUAACGGCCCACCGUGGCUUCGACGGGUAGCCGGCCUGAGAGGGCGACCGGCCACAUUGGGACUGAGAUACGGCCCAGACUCCUACGGGAGGCAGCAGUGGGGAAUAUUGCACAAUGGGCGCAAGCCUGAUGCAGCGACGCCGCGUGAGGGAUGGAGGCCUUCGGGUUGUAAACCUCUUUUAUCGGGGAGCAAGCGAGAGUGAGUUUACCCGUUGAAUAAGCACCGGCUAACUACGUGCCAGCAGCCGCGGUAAUACGUAGGGUGCAAGCGUUAUCCGGAAUUAUUGGGCGUAAAGGGCUCGUAGGCGGUUCGUCGCGUCCGGUGUGAAAGUCCAUCGCUUAACGGUGGAUCCGCGCCGGGUACGGGCGGG